ACCUGCAGAAGAAAAGGCUCACUAGAGUUAGAGCUGAAGAAGCUGUUCUUUAGAUACACUAGCGAAGUAGUGGCAAAUGCCGUUUAAAACUGAUGCUGUUCGUGCCUAGGCAGGUGGAUCAUUUCUUUCGCACUAUUGAGCAGAUUUUGCUCAGACAA